UAGAUUCCACAUAUAAGGUAUGUCAUACACUAUUUCUCCUUCUCUGUCUGACUUAUUUCACUUAGUAUGACAAUCUCUGGGUCCAUCCAUGUCACUACAAAUAAACAAUUUUUAUGAAUUUAUUCACAUGGAUUUUUCAUGGCCAAUUAUGAAAGUACAGUCAUAAAGCAGGGUUGGUAGGAAUUAUGAUGGGAUGAAAACUUGGAGGUUGGGGAACAGUUAAAGAUAGUCUUACCUUUUAAAGUGUAUGAAUUCUCUGUUCAUCCAUUUCAGUUCGGUUAUUAGAAUAUGGACAUGGAGGUAAGGAGUCUCGCGCCUGACCUGACCCUAAGGGGAUGUGUAGUAGCAAUAGCUUGUCGCAUUAACUCCUCCCACCUGGUAGAGAACAGGACUCUUCGCUGCUGAAUGUGGCCCUCUUAACUUCUCCAUGUGGUCUGCCAUCCAGUUUCAGCAGCAAGAAACUAAAAAUAUUUGUGGAUAAGAAGUCAUUUGUCUCUGGUUUCUGCCUCUCCCAAUGCCUGCACUGAGAAAGCAGCCUUCCAGCUGCCAUUCACAACAGGGCUGCCCCAUGCUGGUGGUAGACCGAGGGUGUGGCAACUGGGAUCCAACUGGGGAUGAAGGAGAAGAACCGCUCUCAGAAGAAGAAAUGAGGAAGCCUUCUACUCCUUGCCCAGGCCGAAGGCAAAUUCCUCUGCCUGUUCCAGAUGGAGGCAGAGAAGGGGAAAGAAAAAGUGAAGUCACUCAGUCAUGUGCGACUCUUUGUGACCCCGUGGACUGUAGCUUGCAGGCUCCUCUGUCCAUGGAACUUUCCGGGCAAGAAUACUGGCGUGGGUUGCCCUUUCCUUCUCCAGCAGAGAAGGGAACCAGUUGUGUAAAUAGGGUUUUCCUUACCCUUCCACGCCCCUAGUUUGUCUCUCAUCUGCUCAGCACCUCGAGGUCCUCCAAAGGAAGUCUCUGCCAUUUUUUUUUUCCUCCGAAUUUAGCAAUCUUGCAGAGGACAGUACUCUGUGUGUGUGGUCUCUUACUGAACUUGGGGCUAAUGCACUCUACUGCCCACUCCAAAUCCCAUGUCCUCUUCUCUGGUCAGGGGAUGAGUCUGAGAGACAGUUACUGUGGAGAAUACUGCCAGGUUAGCUUCUAAAAUUGUACAUCCCCAUAUUGAUGAUCCUUAAAUGUAAGAAAAUUAGAAAUAAAUGGUCAAGUGCAGUUAGCUUUGUGGGAUUUAGACAAUAUAAUUUACAUUAGUUUGCUUAAUUAUUAAUAGAAAUAUAGUUAUAUGUAUGCAUAUAUCCCAAAAGCAUUUUUAUUGUUCCCAUAUUAGCUCUCAUGUACAUUUAAAAGUUAAAUACUUUAAAAUACAGUGUGUGCAUAUGUGUAUAUGUCUGCUUGUGUACAUGGAUGCAUCCAUUAUGUUCUACUUAUGUGUGUGCACAGGUGUGUAUACACAUGUUUGCCAAAGGUGUUGCUGUUUCUCUGCUUUCUCCCCGCCCCGCAGUGCUGCUCCUUGUACAGAGAGCAGGCCAGGUGGUGCUGGGGAGCGAGCUGCACCUAGUUGAGCACUGAUCAUGUACCAUGAGGUCCCAUGGAAACGUCAAGUCCAGGCAUAUUAAAUGGCAGGCCUUCGCUUCAGCAGCUCAAGGAUGCAGCUGGGUUCUUGCUGAGCUCGUCCGAGUGCAGCAGGAGGACAGGAAGUGCUGGCUGUGGCAGGUGGAGAAGGGCUCACUGCUGCGAGAAGACUGCCUGGAUUUCCUGGGGAUCCGUGUCUCGCAGAGAUGAGAUCCAAGCGGAAACUGGAGAAGGAGAAAGGGACAGGCGUGUGGGCCUUGGACGAGCUGCCCUGGCAGUGGCCUGGUCUGUGGGGCGGGAAGGAACAGUCAAGGCCACAGAGCUGUCACCUUCUCUGCCAUGUGUCCUCCCAGGAGCAGGGAAAGCGAGCUAAGCCUUCCUGGAAGUGCAGCCAUGUGGCUGGUCACAGUCCACGCCGGGCCUGGAGCCUCGUCAGGCAGUCUGAGCAGCUGUGUGUGUGUCCCUUUGUCCAUGUCCCCACUGGGGGGAUCAAGGGAAUGUACCGACCCGAGCUUAGAUGAAUACAUUUCACAGUCGGGCCAGGGGCUUAUGUGAUGUGAGGGCCACACCGCCCCGCCGUGGGCCAUGCUGAAGGAUUUUCAAUUCCCGGGGAUGCAUUUUGCAGCUCAGUGUCAGCAGGAGCUCUGCCACAUUCUGCCUUUUGAAGCCCCCAGCUUGAGAGGAGCAGGCUCAAGAACAAGUUCUUCCUCACCCUCUGCCCAAACAUCAUUCUUAAUAAACCUCAAUCCAUAAGUAAAUGUGGUAGUCCAAGGCCUGGGACCACUAAUGCAUGAUCAUAGUCAAGGUGAAGAUUCUUUUUCUAGUUGUUUGUCUGAAUACAGCAACAACCUUUAUAUAUAGACUCUGUGCAAACAGUUAACUGUGGCUGAACUACUUGUCCUCCAGAUGGGGAGAGGAUUGACUGUGGUCUCUUGAGAGAGGACAGCAUGUUAGAGGGGACCAGACCCAAGGGGUUAGCAGAAUCAUUCUUAUAUUCAUUUUUUUCUAACUUUGAGGGGGAAUUCUGAGGAAGAAUGCAAAAUGGGAAAGUAAGAGAGUAGGAAAAGUAAGAAGGAAUGGUAACAAAUGGAGAGAAAGUGAACAAGAGGGAGUUUUAAGGAUAUCAGCCGUGGCACCCAGUGCACUGGAAGCUUUAAGCACAGUCUCAGCUUUAAGUUGUCAUAAAUAUUAAUAAAAGGGAAUUCAUUAGUACAUAUAUCUGAAAAGACCAGAUGUGCUGUUGAGCAUGGCUGGUCCAUGGGCCAAUAAUGUUCACAAAAUGGGCUCUCUCCCUCCUUCCACCUCAGGGCACUGCUCUCUGCCUGGUGACUCUCAGGGUUUCCCCUCCAGGAAACUAACUCCAUGGCAUUAACUCCCACAGGACUUCUAAAUUACCUUCCCAGCAACCUCAGUGGAAAAAGAGAGCCCUUCUUAUCAUCUCUUCCGUUGUUGGGUCUUAAGGGCCCUGAUUGGGUUACUUAUCCAUCCCAAACCACUCUCUGCCAUCUGUGGGGUAUGACACUCUGGUUGGCCAGGCUGGGUUAGAUGCAGCCAGGGUGGAGUCAGCUUUACAGAACUCAGUGAUGGAUAGUCUGAAGUGGGGUUCCUUGGGGACCAUCAAGUUGCUCUUACCAGAAAAAAAGGUGAAUGCAUGUGGGUCAGGUAAAAAACCCACCAAGGAAAAAUGUGUCAAAGCUAGAAGAGGUCUGAAAAGAGUUAUUAAUGCAAUGGUUAGGGAAGAUGGCUUCCCUUGAGGCUCAGACAGUAAAGCAUUUGCCUACAAUGCUGGACACUGGGGUUCGGUCCACGGGUUGGGAAGAUCCCCUGGAGAAGGAAAUAGCAACCUACUCCAGUACUCUUGCCUGGAAAAUCCCAUGGAUGGAGGAGUCCAUGGGGUCGCAAAGAAUCGGAUACAACUGAGCGACUUCACUCACUAGGGAAGAUGGAAAACUAAACAAAACCAAACUUGGCCAUUGUUGGGGGUGUGCAGAGGUUGAAUGAUGGAGCCGAUAUGGCAGAAGGGCUGUUGUCUCAAAUGGGAGGUUGAGCAGGAUGUUUUCCAGACAACGUUUUCAAUUCUGAGCAUUCCCCUUUCUCCCACCCCAAGGCUACAUAUCCAAGGUAUAUGGUUGUUUGAAUCCAUAGAUCUUAAUAAUUUCUAGAGCUAAUUUUCUAGAGGGUUCAGAGAGUUAGUGAGGAGUGCUUGUUAUCCAUUGGGGAUGAUCAUAUCUUGAGUUACCAGACACAGGUCAUUAAGUCAAUAAAAUAUGGUUUCUGCUUUCUUUCUGAGGUAUAGGUAAUUUUACAGCAGCAGUUGUUUUUUUUUUUAAACACUCAUAUUUUUGAUGAAAAGGAAAUAAUUUUUUUCCCCUCUAUGACUGAGUUACUCAAGCUGUGCUCCCUGGAGAACCAUGGGGUGACUUUGUGUUCCACAAAGAAAAAAAAGAGAUAAAUAUGUUUUGAUACGUUUGCAAAAUGUUGCAUCUCUUUUCUCCUAGGAAAGAUUGACAUAUGCAGUGUUGAUUAUUGUAUUAAAGACCUGGGGAAGUUUGGCAAGAAGAAAACCUUCAGGUUUUAUACAACUAGUUGCUCUAGCUAGCUUAUGUGGCCAUAAGAUAUUCUUUUCAUAGCACGAGGGUAGUGUUGAAUAUGGAUCAUAAAACAGUGCCUAAGGAAUCAGCUGUAUUUUCUUUGAUUUGAACAUACAAAGCCAUCUGGAAAGGUUUUCACCACUCAGGCUCACCUUGUAUGUUGGAAGGGACCACUUUGCACUAAGAAUCUCUGGGUGGUGUUUUCCUACCUCUAAGCCAAGCCUCUCCAUCUCACCAUAACCAGUUUCUUGAGAGAAUGUGUGACAUAAGUACUGGCUUAUCAGUGCUUUUGUCUCUUCAGGAUUCAUCAUUAGCAAAUAGUCACGACCAUACCUGUGUGUUGGCUCUGAGAAGACUGACUGAGAUUAUCUCUGCCAAUAUCACUUUCUGCUGGUGGUACCCAAGAUGAUUUGGGGAGGCAGGCUCUUUACCCUUCAGGGAGGCAUCUGCAAAUCCCAGCUCUUGGUGGACAUUUUGUAGAAGAACCAGCUUUGAUCCUGUUGCCAGUGGACUUGCCCGACAUCUGCAGAAGUGGCCAAGUCCAGGAAGGGAGCAUUACACAGCCCAGUCCCAUGACAAAUGCUGCAUUGCCAGAAACCA